CGGAGCGAGCCGCGCUGGGCCUCGGGGAGCGGCGCGGCGCUGCGGUUCUCCCCCUCGGGGGAAAGCAGGGCCAGAAGGGGGAGGGUUCUUUCCACGCCAGGACCCUGCGAAGCCGGCCAGGCCGCGGGAAGGGGUUGCCAUCCUCCAGGCGGGGUGGAGAUCGAUUCCCACAGAGAAAAAUGCCUGCUUCGGAGGGUGAUUGCUCUGGUAUUACACCCUGCGGAGGUCUCUCUCGCUUCCCAGGCUCUGUCUCAUAUCUCCAGGAAUUGCUCCAGGAAUUGCCCAAGUUGGGAAAUUCAUGGAGAUUUGGGGAGUGAAACCUGGAGAAAGAGGGGUUUGGGGAGGGAAAGGACCUUGGCGUGGCAUCAUUCCAUAGAGUCCCCCCCCCCAAAGUAGCCAUUUUCUCCAGGUGAACUGAUCUCUGUGGCUUGGAGACUAGUUAUAAUUCUGGGAGAUCUCCAGCCAGUACCUGGAGACUGGCAACCCUACCCCUUCUAAAGCAGCCAUUAGCCCCAGGGCAACUGAUCUGCCCAGCCACCACCUGCAGAACAGCCAACCUCAUUGGAGAUGAAUGCCAUUGAGCUUGCCCUCUAAAGGUGCCAUUUUCUCCAGGGGGGCUGAUCUCUGUGGCCUGGAGAUCAGCUGGGAUCCCGGGAGAGGUGAAAGGUCAUCAGUUCCAUUCUCAACAAGUCCAAGAGAAGUUGUAAUAAAGGGAGCAGUCCUUGGAGAGAUGCAGUCAUAGGCUGGACAAAGAUUAAGAACUGGAAGUGCAAUCCAGACUGGCCAGUUGCAGUGGCGAUGAGACAGCCCGGGACUGGAGAGGUGUCAGUUUGACCCGUCUUUCUUACCCAGGGACUAAAGGAAGAAAUUGAGCAGGAGGGAACAUUCUUGGGCCAGUUUGUGUUCAACGCUGAAGGAGAUUUAGUCCAGACUUUCCAUCCAAAGGUUAAAUCUUCUGAAUUGAUAGGCUACGUGAAACUGAAAGUGCUCAGCAACUGGGGUCACCUGAACUACACCUGCAUCUAUCGCUUCAGGGUACAUGGAGAGCCGGAGAAGAUCUAAGCUAAUCCUAAACUCUGUUUAAGAAUGCAGUGUUAAUGCACAAGCAAUGCCAUCAGCCUUCAUUGUUAAAGGUCAUAAUAGUUACAGAUUAUAAAUUGUUUCGCUAAUAAGUUAGGAACCAUAGACUUCACCAUUAUGUUGCCUUACAUAUUAUCUGUUGCUUUAAAUAUGUACUCCUAUAUACUACCUGCGCUUCAUGUUAUUUAAGGUCAGUCCUAGAAUUGAUUAUGUUCUGUUUCAGCAAUUCUUCAACCCUGUAUUGGAUUCUUGCUAAUGCUAGGUCUUUGUAAACUUGUAUUCAUUUACCGUAUGACAUUAUGGAAAUGUUCUUGACACUGUAUGGAAAUGCCUGCUGUUGUCCUUGCUACUGAUUGUACUAAUCUCAUACUGUGUAAUCCGCCUUGCGUCUCAGUGAGAAAGGUGGACUA